AUGGACCAGCCCAAGCCGACGCCGUCGGCGGCCGCCUCGCCGGCGGGGGCGGACGCGGCGCCCAACCCCUACGCCUUCACGUGCGAGCUCCCCCAGUCGAUCUACGCGCUGGCCUUCUCCCCCUCCGCGCCCGUCCUCGCCGCCGGCAGCUUCCUCGAGGACCUCCACAACCGCGUCUCCCUCCUCUGCUUCGACUCCGUCCACCCCACCGCCGCCUCCUUCCGCGCCGUGCCCUCCCUCUCCUUCGACCACCCCUACCCGCCCACCAAGCUCCAGUUCAACCCGCGCGCCGCCUCCACGCCCCUCCUCGCCUCCUCCUCCGACGCCCUCCGCCUCUGGCACGCCCCCCUCGACGACCUCUCCGCCUCCGCCCCCGCCCCCGAGCUCCGCUCCGUCCUCGACAACCGCAAGGCCUCCGCCUCCGAAUUCUGCGCGCCCCUCACCUCCUUCGACUGGAACGAGAUCGAGCCCCGCCGCAUCGGCACCGCCUCCAUCGACACCACCUGCACCGUCUGGGACAUCGAGCGCGGCGUCGUCGAGACGCAGCUCAUCGCGCACGACAAGGCCGUGCACGACAUCGCAUGGGGGGAGGCCGGCGUCUUCGCCUCCGUCUCCGCCGAUGGCUCCGUCCGCGUCUUUGAUCUCCGGGACAAGGAGCACUCCACCAUCGUCUACGAGAGCCCCCGCCCGGACACGCCGCUCCUCAGGCUUGCCUGGAACCGCUAUGACCUGCGAUACAUGGCCGCCCUGCUCAUGGACAGCAACGCCGUCGUUGUGCUCGACAUACGCGCACCCGGGGUGCCUGUGGCCGAGCUACAUCGGCAUGGGGGAUGCGUCAACGCUGUUGCGUGGGCACCGCAGGCUGCAAGACACCUCUGCUCCGCAGGGGACGACGGGCAGGCGCUCAUCUGGGAGCUGCCUGAGGCACCGGCAGCAGUGCCUCCCGAAGGGAUUGAUCCAGUUCUUGUUUAUGAUGCGGGUGCCGAGAUAAACCAGCUGCAGUGGGUGGCCGGACACCCGGACUGGAUGGGCAUUUCCAUUGAGAACAAGGUCCAGCUUCUCCGGGUCUGA
rnacentral:rRNA from 1 species